rnacentral:rRNA from 1 species
AACCUCCGCAAUGUGAGAAAUCGCGACGGGGGGAUCCCAAGUGCCAUUCUUAACGGGAUGGCUUUUCAUUAGUGUAAAAAGCUUUUGGAAUAAGAGCUGGGCAAGACCGGUGCCAGCCGCCGCGGUAACACCGGCAGCUCUAGUGGUAGCAAUUUUUAUUGGGCCUAAAGCGUCCGUAGCCGGUUUAAUAAGUCUCUGGUGAAAUCCUGUAGCUUAACUGUGGGAAUUGCUGGAGAUACUAUUAGACUUGAGACCGGGAGAGGUUAGAGGUACUCCCAGGGUAGAGGUGAAAUUCUGUAAUCCUGGGAGGACCGCCUGUUGCGAAGGCGUCUAACUGGAACGGUUCUGACGGUGAGGGACGAAAGUUAGGGGCGCGAACCGGAUUAGAUACCCGGGUAGUCCUAACUGUAAACGAUGCGGACUUGGUGUUGGGGUGGCUUUGAGCUGCUCCAGUGCCGAAGGGAAGCUGUUAAGUCCGCCGCCUGGGAAGUACGGUCGCAAGACUGAAACUUAAAGGAAAU